AAAACGGCUCUUUUUGGAGCCACCCACAUGAAAUAAAGUGUAUGAU
rfam:Nematostella vectensis strain CH2 x CH6 NEMVEscaffold_288_Cont22473, whole genome shotgun sequence.